UGGGGAAUAUUGGACAAUGGGGGGAACCCUGAUCCAGCCAUGCCGCGUGUGUGAAGAAGGCCUUAUGGUUGUAAAGCACUUUAAGCGAGGAGGAGGGUACUGGUAUUAAUACUACCAGGUACUGGACGUUACUCGCAGAAUAAGCACCGACUAACUCUGUGCCAGCAGCCGCGGUAAUACAGAGGGUGCGAGCGUUAAUCGGAUUUACUGGGCGUAAAGCGUGCGUAGGCGGCUAAUUGAGUCGGAUGUGAAAUCCCCGAGCUUAACUUGGGAAUUGCAUUCGAUACUGGUUAGCUAGAGUGUGGGAGAGGAUGGUAGAAUUCCAGGUGUAGCAGUGAAAUGCGUAGAGAUCUGGAGGAAUACCGAUGGCGAAGGCAGCCAUCUGGCCUAACACUGACGCUGAGGUACGAAAGCAUGGGGAGCAAACAGG
rnacentral:rRNA from 1 species